AGAGUUUGAACUUGGNUCAGAACGAACGCUGGCGGCAGGCCUAAUACAUGCAAGUCGAGCGCGCCCUUCGGGGUGAGCGGCGGACGGGUGAGUAACGCGUGGGAAUAUGCCCUUCUCUAAGGAAUGGCCUCUGGAAACGGAGAGUAAUACCUUAUACGCCCUUCGGGGGAAAGAUUUAUCGGAGAAGGAUUAGCCCGCGUUAGAUUAGGUAGUUGGUGGGGUAAUGGCCUACCAAGCCUACGAUCUAUAGCUGGUUUGAGAGGAUGAUCAGCCACACUGGGACUGAGACACGGCCCAGACUCCUACGGGAGGCAGCAGUAGGGAAUCUUAGACNAUGGGGGCAACCCUGAUCUAGCCAUGCCGCGUGUGUGAUGAAGGCCCUAGGGUCGUAAAGCACUUUCGCCAGAGAUGAUAAUGACAGUAUCUGGUAAAGAAACCCCGGCUAACUCCGUGCCAGCAGCCGCGGUAAUACGGAGGGGGUUAGCGUUGUUCGGAAUUACUGGGCGUAAAGCGCACGUANGCGGAUUANUAAGUUANAGGUGAAAUCCCAGGGCUCANCCCUGGAACUGNCUUUAAUACUGCUAGUCUUUGAGUUCNAGAGAGGUAAGUGGAAUUCCGANUGUAGAGGUGAAAUUCGUAGAUAUUCGGAGGAACACCA
rnacentral:rRNA from 1 species